rnacentral:lncRNA from 1 species
UUUGGCAUUAAAAUUAGAAAGAUCAUAUCAUAAGGAACAUGUAUACUGAGUUUCAAGUUGAUUGGAAUUCAACUUCAUCAAAAACUACCUCAACCAAAAACUAUAACCUGAAGCAGGCCAGACUAACAGAUGAACAAACCAACAGACGAAGGGACGCACAGAGAAGAAAAUAUAAUGCCCAUAAAUGGGGCAUAUAGAUAUCUUUGCAAAUAAAUGGUGCUACGAUUUCAAUUUUGUGUUUUUAUAAAGUUCUGACCCUUUGUGGCCUUACUUCUUUGACUUGCAUUGAACAUGCAAUGUGUAAUCUAAAUCAUUAAACGAGAUUUAUCUCAGAACUCCUUAAUACUUCAAAGCCAUGGCUUUUUAAGUUUUUUUUGGAUUUUCAUAUUUUUAUUUUCAAAUGAAUGCUUAAUCUUU